rnacentral:lncRNA from 1 species
GGCUCUUCCGGUGUCAUGGCGCCAAAGUGCUUACCGCUAGCACACUGUGGAGAGGAGCUUUAUUGGAUGUCGUGCUUUCUGUGACUUCUACAAGCUACUGCCUGUAUAAGAAAGACCCUAGGAGACACUCAAGCUGCGCAAUGCUGCCUAUACCAUUACUAGAGCAAGACCAGUUUUGA